UGGUAGUGUAUUGGACAACCAUCGCAGUCACGGGUAACGGAGAAUUAGGGUUCGAUUCCGGAGAGGGAGCCUGAGAAACGGCUACCACAUCUACGGAAGGCAGCAGGCGCGAAAAUUGCCCAAUCCCGACUCGGGGAGGCAGCGACAAGAAAUAACAACUCUAGCUUAUGCUAGAAGUGUAAUGAGGAUAAUUUACAAACCUUACCGAAUGCAAUUGGAGGGCAAGUCUGGUGCCAGCAGCCGCGGUAAUUCCAGCUCCAAUAGCGUAUAUUAAAGUUGUUGCAGUUAAAAAGCUCGUAGUUGAAGUUCUGGCUGCUCGGGUCCUCAGCCUAAGGCGGGGAUACCGACAGUCAUCCGCUUGCAAGCAUAUGUUCGGCCUUAAACAGCUGGCUAUGUGAGUAAGCAAUUUACCUUGAGAAAAACAGAGUGUUCCAGGCAGGUUUGUCCGGGAUGCAUUAGCAUGGAAUAAUAGAACAUGACUGAAGUCUAUUGAUUGGUUUAAGGCUUUAGUAAUGAUUAAUAGGAACAGUCGGGGGCAUUCGUACUCAGCAGUCAGAGGUGAAAUUCUAAGAUUUGCUGAAGACGAACUAAUGCGAAAGCAUUUGCCAAGGAUGUUUUCAUUAAUCAAGAACGAAAGUUAGGGGAUCAAAGACAAUCAGA
rnacentral:rRNA from 1 species